rnacentral:pre_miRNA from 1 species
GAUUUCAACUGAAAAAUUCAUCAACAAUAAAGUUGUAUAACUCAUUAAUAUCUAUAACUUUUAUUUUGGUCAUUUCUUCAUCCAAUAAAGUAAUAGUAACAUUGUUCACAAAAUUUACAUAUAUCUCUUAUAGAUUAUAAAACAGUAUAAGAGAUAUGUAAAAUUUGUAAACAAUGUUACUAUCACUUUAUCAGAUGAAGAAAUGACCAAAAUAAAAAUUGUAGAUACAGAUGGAUUAUACAACUUUGUUGUUGAUGACUUUUUCAGUUGAAGUC